CCGGCGACCGGCGCACGGGUGAGUAACACGUAUGCAACCUGCCCUCCGCAGGGGGAUAACCCGGAGAAAUCCGGACUAAUACCGCGUGGUACACCAGUGGGGCAUCCCACGGGUGUUAAAAGGAAGCGAUUCCGGCGGAGGAUGGGCAUGCGGCGCAUUAGCUUGUUGGCGGGGUAACGGCCCACCUAACCGACGAUGCGUAGGGGUUCUGAGAGGAAGGUCCCCCACACUGGUACUGAGACACGGCCCAAACUCCUACGGGAGGCAGCAG
rnacentral:rRNA from 1 species